rnacentral:rRNA from 1 species
UCUUCCUACGGGGGGCAGCAGUGGGGAAUAUUGCACAAUGGGGGAAACCCUGAUGCAGCAACGCCGCGUGAGUGAAGAAGUCAUUCGUGAUGUAAAGCUCUAUCAGCAGGGAAGAAAAUGACGGUACCUGAGUAAGAAGCCCCGGCUAACUACGUGCCAGCAGCCGCGGUAAUACGUAGGGGGCAAGCGUUAUCCGGAUUUACUGGGUGUAAAGGGAGCGUAGACGGCGGGGCAAGUCUGGAGUGAAAGGCAGGGGCCCAACCCCUGGACUGCUCUGGAAACUGUCCGGCUGGAGUGCAGGAGAG